rnacentral:tRNA from 1 species
GUUUCUGUAGUGUAGCGGUCAUCACGUUUGCCUAACAUGCAAAAGGUCCUUGGUUCAGAACCGAGCAGAAAAA